rnacentral:rRNA from 1 species
GACGAACGCUGGCGGCGUGCUUAACACAUGCAAGUCGAACGGAAAGGCCCUGCUUUUGUGGGGUGCUCGAGUGGCGAACGGGUGAGUAACACGUGAGUAACCUGCCCUUGACUUUGGGAUAACUUCAGGAAACUGGGGCUAAUACCGGAUAGGAGCUCCUGCUGCAUGGUGGGGGUUGGAAAGUUUCGGCGGUUGGGGAUGGACUCGCGGCUUAUCAGCUUGUUGGUGGGGUAGUGGCUUACCAAGGCUUUGACGGGUAGCCGGCCUGAGAGGGUGACCGGGCGGGUGGGGGGGGGGGUGGGGGGGAGGGGGGGGGGGGGGGCGGGGGGGGGGGGGGGGGGGGGGGGGGGGGGGGGGUGAUGCAGCAACGCCGCGUGCGGGAUGACGGCCUUCGGGUUGUAAACCGCUUUCGCCUGUGACGAAGCGUGAGUGACGGUAAUGGGUAAAGAAGCACCGGCUAACUACGUG